CGUUUUGUAUUCUCCCAGGAUUCUGGUCAAAAUAUACUGUCAGAUAUGAUUAGAAACCAUGUAUCUUAAAGUAAUGGACAACGUGUUGAGUACUUUCUACUCCUAAUGGAAACUUCCCUUUUUUCUCAUUUUCUCUUUGAUAGGUUGUUAUGACAGCCAUACUGGCAGCAGUGAUAGGCAUCGCAUCCCAGGUCCUGAGAAAUGAUUGUAAUGAAGUCCAGAUAAGAGCCGGCCUCUUUUACCUGCUCACAAUCUUCCAGUGAAUCACAAGUUUGGCUUCAGGGGAGCUCUUUGUGAUUGACAGGGAUCACUUUCUAUAUGAGCACACCAGUGGAUACUACAGAGUGUCAUCCUAUUUCUUUGGGAAAUUGCUGGCUGAGCUAAUACCCAGAAGACUGUUGUCAAAUAUGAUAUUUACUCUUAUAACAUACUUCAU